rnacentral:rRNA from 1 species
UGGCGGCGCGCCUAACACAUGCAAGUCGAACGGAGCUUAGAGAGCUUGCUUUUUAAGCUUAGUGGCGAACGGGUGAGUAACGCGUGAGUAACCUGCCCUAGAGUGGGGGACAACAGUUGGAAACGACUGCUAAUACCGCAUAAGCCCACGGUACCGCAUGGUACUGAAGGGAAAAGGAUUUAUUCGCUUUAGGAUGGACUCGCGUCCAAUUAGCUAGUUGGUGAGGUAACGGCCCACCAAGGCGACGAUUGGUAGCCGGACUGAGAGGUUGAACGGCCACAUUGGGACUGAGACACGGCCCAGACUCCUACGGGAGGCAGCAGGUGGGGGAUAUUGCACAAUGGGGGAAACCCUGAUGCAGCGACGCCGCGUGGAGGAAGAAGGUUUUCGGAUUGUAAACUCCUGUCGUUAGGGACGAUAAUGACGGUACCUAACAAGAAAGCACCGGCUAACUACGUG